ensembl:lncRNA
GUUUAUUUAUUUUCCCUUUUGUACUUUAACCAUUUGUACAUCGUUACAACACUGUAUAUAUACAUCAUAUGACAUUUGAAAUGUCUUUAUUCUUUUGGAAAUUCUGUGAGUGUAAUUUUUACUGUUCAUUUAUAUUGUUUACCUCAAUUUUGCAUAUUAUCUACUUCUCUUGCUUUGGCAAUGUUAACAUGUGUUUCCCAUGUCAAUAAAGCCCCUUGAAUUGAAAUAAACAAAACAAAAGCGCCACCUGGUGGAGAAGACAGAUUUCGGGCCCAGUUAUCCCUCUUUGGUUCACCUCUUCCUCUCUGACAGACAACAGCAGACAGGCAGCACCAGGUCCUUGUAACUGUGAGUGCUGUAUGACAGAGACACAAGUAUCCACUACGUUCCCCACAGGUCCAUACACAGCUGUGUAGCGUAGCAAUCUAAAUAGUUUAUUUUUUAAAGAUGCUUCAGAAAAAAAGUUAACUUUCCCAAAGUCCCCACAAUGUGCGAGCCACACCCCCAUUGGUUCUCAGUACUGCUAGUAUAUAUAUACAACACACUCUAACAUCAGGCCAGUAUCCAUCUAUAUGGUGCAGGGUUCAGGUCUACUCCACAGGGUCCAGGCCCACCAUGAGGUCUCUACUCCACAGGGUCCAGGCCCACCAUGAGGUGUCUACUCCACAGGGUCCAGGCCCACCAUGAGAUCUCUACUCCACAGGGUCCAGGCCUACCAUGAGGUCUCUACUCCACAGGGUCCAGGCCCACCAUGAGGUCUCUACUCCACAGGGUUCAGGCCCACCAUGAGGUCUCUACUCCACAGGGUCCAGGCCCACCAUGAGGUCUCUAAUCCACAGGGUUCAGGUCCACCAUGAGGUCUCUUUUCCACAGGGUCCAGGCUCACCAUGAGUUCUCUACUCCACAGGGUUCAGGCCCACCAUGAGGUCUCUACUCCACAGGGUCCAGGCCCACCAUGAGGUCUCUACUCCACAGGGUUCAGGCCCACCAUGAGAUCUCUACUCCACAGGGUUCAGGCCCACCAUGAGGUCUACUCCACAGGGUCCAGGCCCACCAUGAGAUCUCUACUCCACAGGGUCCAGGCCCACCAUGAGGUCUAUACCACUAUAAACAGUUAUAGUCUCUGUUAUAUGUGUGGCCAUAUUAUACAGUCUACCCACGCCAGGAGUGCUUGAGAAACCAGCAGAGAAACUCUAUUUCUACAAGCCUCUUGACAUUGUGAUACUCCCCAAUACUACUGUAGGUAGUAACCCCUGAUCUACAGUGCCCGUUAAUACCCAGAAUCAUCACAACUACAGUGCUCUUUCUUCUUUUUUCAGUCUUAGACCAAACAUCCUAAAACAAGUCAUGCGUCUUAUUACCAAUGCGUGUACAUUUUCAGUUUAGGAUAAAUAUCAACUAUAGAUGAACAUUCAAUGUUGAAACCAUUACUGACCAGACUUGUAUUUAGGUUGAAUAGAAUCUAUAAAAUAUGAUUCAUUUGAAGCCAGACCGUUCCUAUCGGACAAUGUCUUAAAGCUACAGUACAGACAAACAAACCAAAGCGUCUGUA